ACGGCCAUUACGCGUCAUCUAAUUUUAAAGUGUUUUCUGCGUAUAAAAGUGGAAAAAAUGCGAAUUAUAAUGUAUCGAAGAAAAGUAAAUGGUGCGGAAAGUAAUCUGUAUCAUAAAUUAGGCGAGCAAAUAAGAAGAGAAGGAGAGGAAGACAGAAGAAAGGUCCCGAUCAACGCAGGCGUCUCUCGCCGCAGUCGCCGCCAUGAUGGCGGACAUUGCGGAAUUUAUUGUUUGCCUUACCUUACAAGACCUAAACCGUGCCCUAGGCCUUAUAUUGGCCUUAUUCUGCCUUAUAUACGGGAUUACUAUCUCUGCCUGCGGCGUCGAGAAGUAGUAACAGGUCUCCAUUAGUUGUCAUUGAGACGCGGACGACCUUCAUAGUGAAGCAUAAAAUGCAAUUGAAGAUCUAAGCGAUGAAGUCUUAACCUCUCGGUGAGGCACUUGAGCAGGUUGUUUUUUGGCAAAAACCUUUUUUUUUUCCAGCUUACAAAGAGGUAAAUAAAGAAAAGAAAGGACAAGUCAACUAAGAAACAUCCUGCUCCAGAAGUUACAAAUUAUAAAGCCAUAGAACAGAAAUAAUCUGAAGUCUCAAGCGCAUUAUUUGCCACUGGCUUGGCCCUCAUAACAUUUGCUGAAUGAAUUGGUCAUCUUUUGUGAGACGCAGGGAGUUACAACUUAAAAGGAUGUUUAUAACGUCGGGUCUUUACAAUAAAAUGGGAAGAUCUGAAGAGACCUAGAAGAUAUAACCUAGUAGAAGAUACAACUUCAAGGGCCCAACCAAUAACACAGAGACAUACCCAGAGCCCAAGGUCAGAAGCUGUACCACAGGAGACCCUAACAACACCACCUCUUCUGCCAAGCCACACCAUCAGCGGACGUGUCGCACUCAGCAAUAUUACUAUUACAAUAGCUGUUAAAUGAUCAGCAACCAGCAAUUUCAGCGACGUGUUAUCCUGGUUGCCGCGGGGCUCUCCGGGCAGCGCUGGCGCUGAAGGGGGCGGCGGCGGUGACAUGCUGCAGUCCCUCGCGCCCAACACCGUCAAGCAGUAUCACACGCACUUGAC